rnacentral:rRNA from 1 species
GUGGGGAAUAUUGGACAAUGGGCGAAAGCCUGAUCCAGCCAUGCCGCGUGUGUGAAGAAGGUCUUCGGAUUGUAAAGCACUUUAAGUUGGGAGGAAGGGCAUUAACCUAAUACGUUAGUGUUUUGACGUUACCGACAGAAUAAGCACCGGCUAACUUCGUGCCAGCAGCCGCGGUAAUACGAAGGGUGCAAGCGUUAAUCGGAAUUACUGGGCGUAAAGCGCGCGUAGGUGGUUCAGUAAGUUGGAUGUGAAAUCCCCGGGCUCAACCUGGGAACUGCAUCCAAAACUGCUGAGCUAGAGUACGGUAGAGGGUGGUGGAAUUUCCUGUGUAGCGGUGAAAUGCGUAGAUAUAGGAAGGAACACCAGUGGCGAAGGCGACCACCUGGACUGAUACUGACACUGAGGUGCGAAAGCGUGGGGAGCAAACAGGAUUAGAAACCCGAGUAGUCC